ACGAACGCUGGCGGCGUGCUUAACACAUGCAAGUCGAACGUGAUUUUUGUGGAAAUUCUUUCGGGAAUGGAAAUGAAAUGAAAGUGGCGAACGGGUGAGUAACACGUGAGCAACCUACCUUACACAGGGGGAUAGCCGUUGGAAACGACGAUUAAUACCGCAUGAGACCACAGAAUCGCAUGAUAUAGGGGUCAAAGAUUUAUCGGUGUAAGAAGGGCUCGCGUCUGAUUAGCUAGUUGGAAGGGUAAAGGCCUACCAAGGCGACGAUCAGUAGCCGGUCUGAGAGGAUGAACGGCCACAUUGGAACUGAGACACGGUCCAAACUCCUACGGGAGGCAGCAGUGGGGAAUAUUGCACAAUGGGGGGAACCCUGAUGCAGCGACGCCGCGUGAGCGAAGAAGGUUUUCGAAUCGUAAAGCUCUGUCCUAUGAGAAGAUAAUGACGGUAGCAUAGGAGGAAGCCCCGGCUAAAUACGUG
rnacentral:rRNA from 1 species